CUUAUUUUUGAAGUUGAUCUUAUUCCCUCUUUGAAAUAUUUUUUGGGAUAAAUGCUUAAAAAGAGUUAUCAUAUCCGAUUCAAAAAUGGUUAUCUUACUUUGAGAGAUGAAACAAAUAGCUUGAUUCCGAAGGUGCCUAUGGCAAAGAAUAGGAUGUUCCUGUUUAACAUUCAAGUCAAUCAUUUGAAAUGCUGAAAAUUUGUGUAAAAGGACACAUCUUGGUUGUGGCAUUUGAGGUUUGGUCACUUGAUUUUUGGUGGUCUUAAAGCUUUGGUGGAAAAGAAGAUGGUGAACAUGUCUGUUAUCAGCCAUCCCAAUCCCCAAUCAAUUAUAUCAAGGAUGUCUCUAUGGCAAGCAAACUAGGAAAAUUUUUCCUAAGGAAGCCACGUGGAGAGCAAAUCAACCGCUCCAACCUGUACAUGCAGAUGCGUGUGGACCAAUGAAGCAAACUUCAAGUGACUUUGAGGUUGCAUUUGGAACUUCUUUCUGCUGAAAAUUCCGUGUCUGCUCUAAUUGCCUCAGGAGUUAAUGGAUGUGAUCGUAUGGCCCGUCUUUAUGGUGGAAUACCUGCUUAUUCAUGGUUCUGCAUUGAGACCUGGUUUUGAUCUUUGUAAAUUGAAUGUACUUGACAGCGGCCACUACAAACAACCAGCACCAGUAAAGAUUGAGAUACGUUGGUGUCCAUGCAAUGAUGUGAUUGAAAUGCAAGCCAUAAGGUUAGAGCUUAAUAGACGAACCCAAACACAAACUAAAGCUUGGUCUUUGUUCAAAAUGGAAAAACAAAGGCUAUCUUGUUGAAACCAUGGGCUAUAUUGUCUCAAUUGAAGAUCGGCUGCAUGGUUUGCUAUCGGGCCCAAGGCAAAGUUCACAAUAUACCAAGAUUUGGCGCAAGAGUAUUGUCAAGGCAUCUGAUGUACUUCAUUGAAACAUUUUCUGCUCAUGCCGUACAAAGAUGGAAGGCAUAUCAUAUCCUAUUAGUUCAGAAUUUGCUAGAAGAAGCCAAUAUAUUGCUUGGCGAGCUGUUGCAUUCAAAAAUUGUGGAACAACUUGCUCUCCAGGGAAGCUGUGAGCUACCAGCAUUGUAAAGGUAAAUAUAUACUUGAUUACAAGAAAACUUUCACAAAUUUUUAUUAUAAGGUAAAUAUUUGAUUAAUUACUUGGCCAACCAUCUCACUGAUUCUGUAUUCAAUUAGUAAAAGCUAGUUUUGUUGCAUUUUUGUCUUGUCUAAAAUUAGUCCUGAAGCUUGUGUAUCUAUUGGUCAUAAGCCAGGAUUGAUACUAAUUUGAGCUACCUGUAGAGUCCAAGGUUGUUUUACAUUUAGGAAUGUACAACAAACGUGAGUUUGAAACAUAGUAUGGGGAAUGCUAUGUCAAUUAGAUGAUUGGUAUGAUGUAUGAUUCGAACUCUUAUGAUGCAUUUGAGGUUCUUUCUGUGAACAUGAAAACUUUGAAGCUCAACUUGAGUGUUAAGUUGUUGAAGGACAAUUGUUGUCACACUCCCCUCUAGGGAGAAGCAUGACUGAUCAUAUACCCCAAGUCAAAACUCAAGGAACACGAACAUUAGCAUCCACUGAUCUUCUUAAAUCAUUAAAACUCAGAGGGCCAACAAUGACUUAUAUAAAAGCUUUUGAGUCUUAGCAUUAUAUGAUAAAUAAAGAAAAUAAGAUAACAAGAUAGUUCUAAUAGUCCACUUCUAGUCCCUCAAUCUGAGUCCAUCCCUAGGCAUCUUGCUGGUCACUUGAAAUAUAUUAAGUGGUAGGAUAAGUUUGACAUCUCAUUGAGGGUUUUCUACAUAUGUUAAAUCAUAAAGCAAAAGACACUACCUUUCAUGUGUAAACAAAUAAAUAUUUUCCAAAUAUUCCCAAUACAAUAGUUUAGAUCAAGUAACAUGCUAUAGCCAUGACAAAGUAACAAUUAACCAUUUCAAUAUAUAUAACACAAUAAGCACAUAAAAUCAUUAAUCACAUUUAAAUAAUAAAACCAUCAAUAAUAGUAUAUCAAGCUCUAAGAUCCUAUAUAGUGGGGGGAGGGGGGAACAGGAUCAAGCCUGGGUCCUAUCCUUUUAGUAUCCAAUGGAGUUGCCUCAUAGCAUUUAGCAUAAUGGUUCAAUAACAAGUAAUCACAAGCUAAACACUAGAAAAUAUCUUUUAUGUUCUUAGUUUAUAUCAUUUUUUAUCAUAUAAUGUACAAAAUCAAGUAACUAUGAGAACACAUAACAUUGUUUUAAACAUUUCAUAACAUGCAUCAGAAUACUUUUGAAAACAUACAUACUGCAAUAUAAAUACUCAUUUGGUCUUUGUAUUGUAUAAUCCCUACAAUCUAUUUUUCAAUAAUUUAUUCGAACAAACAUUGUAAUCUCAUGUUGAAUUUUUAAUCACUAUCUAUCUAAAAAUUUGAGUUAUUAAAUAGAGGAUUACUUUACCUUCUAUAUUAUCAAUUUGCUCUCGACAUCCCAUAUUAAUAAAAUUCCUUUUAUCUAAGAAAAUCUAGCCUAAAUGCAAUGUAGGAAUAUUUUCUUGGUUUUUGAAACUCAAGGGUGAUUCUAUCAUUACUAAGACCUACAGAGCUUUCCUACCAUUUACCAUACCUGAGGGUAUUUUUGUAAUUUUUGAAACUAAGGGGAUGUUUUGUAAUUUUUGGAAAUUUGGGGGUUUCGUAUGAUCUUAGAAAUUUGAGGCCUUUUAUGAAAUUUUCAAAAAAUUAAGAGUUCAAGUGUAAAUAACAUAAGACAUAGGGCAAAUUGCAAAAAUCUUAUCAUAUGGGUCGGGUCCACGGUCCAUUGGGUUAAUUGACUUUGUGAAAUUAGGUCUUUUUGCACCUUAUUUGUAAUCACCAAUGCAGAACUGUGAGUUCCUAUUCCAAAAAGAACCAUGCUACUUAUACACCUUGAGCUACACACGCGCACAAAUGAUUAAAAUACCCCUCGCGUCUUACCGCCUUGGGUGAGGGGUAUUUUUUUCAUUUUAGCUGCAUUGUGAAACCCAAGGAGUACAAAUAGUAUUUUCCCUUUCUGAUUAGCCAAGGCGUCGCGAGGGCCAUGUGGCCAUUAUUGAGAAUCAGGUACUUAGGUUUUUUCAGAUUUUUGGAAGGAAAAUGCUAUUUGUACUCCUUGGACUACACUUUGGGGUACACAAUGGAGCUAAAAUGACAAAAAUAUCUCUCACCCAAAGCGGUAAGGCGUGAAGGGUAUUUUAGUCAUUUGCGCGGGUGUAACCCAAGGCAUAGCCCUUGAUGUACAAGUAGCAUGGUCCAUCGGAAAGAUGACCAGCACAACAGUUUAUAACAGCAAAUAAAAUAAAUAAAGGAAGCGAGUUUUACUCCCGUUGCUUUCGCCGGUACGCCUUUUCUCUUUUUCUUCUUUUUUUCCCCUUCACAGUUGUGGACACUUCUCUCCCUCAAUCUCUGUUUUCUUUCUCCUUGUGAAUUAUCGUGAACCACCAGUUCUUGUCUACCCCGAUUUCUUCUAUUAGUCUUCGCAAACUCUCCAAAAUUCUUUCACUUCUCAGAUUGGGCAUACACUGCUCGAUGAUUUGCUGCCACCCCUUCUAUAACUGGUAUUUAUAGACCUUCACCUUCAAACCAUAUUGAAUUGAUCUCUACCAUCAUAUCUUUAUCUUUCCUCUCCCCUAACUUUCUCAAUGCCAGACCUUCGGCUGCCUCCAAUUGAAACCCUCACCAUCAAUUCCCAAUUUUAAUUCUUACAGCUUGAAUGUCCUCAAUCAAUUUCUGGUUUUGAUUCUUAGGGUUUUGAAUGCCUUGACUAUUGGCUUUUUAUUUUUGUAUUUUUUUUCCCUUAUGUUACACUUGUACUGCAUAUUUAUUCCUGUUUUCCCUCUUUUUGCUUUUUAAUUUUCUAUGUUCGUGUUUGUUUCUUGUUCUCUUGUUGCCUUUAUCGUCCUGAUCUCCACUACCGAUACUACUAACUUUUCAUUUUAUACAGUUUCAUUUUUUAAAAACAUACUAUCUGUCUGAGUUUUUAGGUAGGUUAGUGGUUAAUAGUUUAGUACAAAACCAGAAUGGGCAAAAGAUUUUCAUAUUUACUCUCUACCAACUCAAUAUUUGAAUAGUUCCACAUGUUUGUCCAAUUACGAAGGAAAGUUUGGCCUCACUAGGGGGAACGUGUUGUGUUAAGAGUAUUAAUGCUAUUGUAAUAUAUAUAUAUACCAAUUUCUUUAACAGCUUUAAGUUCUUAAAAUGUAUGGUGGAUAAUAAUUUAACAAAUUCAAUGUUUGGUCGUUUGAAGUCAGUUGUAUAUUGAUUAUUCUAUGUUGUUUUCAGUCUUUUGACACUUGCACUUAUUUUUUUGAAAGAAUUUAUUAUGAAGGGAAAAGAUCCAUUUGGUACAUUCAUGUCAUAAAACCAUUUAUGUCUAGUUUGGUACUAUUUUCUGGUAUUAGAACCAUUUGUUUUUAGUUUGGUAUGGUGUUUAUCCCAGAUUGAGAAAAUUACUUAUUGUUAGGAACAUAGGGUAUCUAAUUUUUCAUCUGAAUGGUUUUUCACCUGAUGUGCAUCCAGAAACUGAAUAUUUGCGACCCACCACUUGGUGGCUUCAAGUGGUUGCAACAUUUCCUUUUUAUUUCUGUUGGAUUUAGUUAUUUCACAAACUUUGAUGAACAUUAUAUAGACAACACUGCUCUUGUUCGCUAGAAAAAGAAAAGAAAGAAAGAAAAAGCUUCUUGAAGAUUAUUUUUGGAGUCUUAGUUGCUAUAGUUCAUGUUCCUAGGUUUGUUCUUAGUUGUUAUAGUUCCUAUUUUUCAAUCUUCUACACAAUGUACCUUAAAUUAUCUGUUGAAUGUUAGCAAAAUCAACUUAGAAAUGCUUUAAGACUGGUGUGGUAAUGGUUUAUGAAAUUUUUUUAUAAAUACUAUAAUUUUAAACUUAAAAUAAUGCUACAUGUUCAAAACAAUUUCUAAAAAUGCUACAACUCUAACGAUGUUGCAAUCCACAUUGUUACGGUACAAUAUGGCAUUUGGGUGCUUGAAUCUCGCUCCUCCCAGGAGCGAGAUUGAAAGAAACUUGCCCCUACAAGGGGCAUUUACUUCAUUGAUCACUAUCACCUUCUUCUUCAUAUUCCAUAUUUCAAACUAUCUCUGCCAGAUCAACGGAUCUCGUCACCACAAGUUUAUCCUCAGCAUAGGCACCAACGUCUUUCCCAAAGCUUGCAACAACGUCUUCAACUUCAUAUUUUUUCCUUAAUUUUUCAAUUUGUUCUCUGGUUCUCAUGCAUAACCUCCCUAUGCUUUCUUUAUUUGAAACCACUAUUCUCCAAAGCAUAAAUCCUUUGAAACCACUUCCUGAAACAAGUAAUGCCCUGUGGAUGCAACAAUCAAGCAUGAUGUAUAGGAAACUUGCUUCCACUUGUAAUAACAACAAUAACAACAAACUUAGAAUUCGAAGACAACUAUGUAUUACAAAAAUAAAAAUCAUAAAUGUAAUCCAAUUUGCUACUAAUCCACCCAAAAAAUCAAUGGAGACGGAAAGAGGCACACACAGACGUGGUUCAGAUUUACAAAAGGAAAAAUGGUAGCGAAUGACUUACAAGUGAUUUGGUUGAUUAACAUACCAACUCAAUUUGUGGUUUUAGGUGGGUUGGUUUAACAUGGAAGACGCUAGUGAUAAGGGCGAGUUUCAUUAAAUCUCACUCCUUGAGGAGACAUUGACUCUUUCUCUCUCUCUCUCUCUCUCUCUCUCUCUCUCCCUCAACAAUAGUUGCUAUGACCAAUUAGAUGAAAAAAUGCUUUUGUCAGUGGUUGUAACUUCUUAAGUGGUCCUACACUUCCAAUGAAUCUCAACAAUUGGGGUUUACCAACUUUCUUUCUUUCAUUUUAUAUGUUAUGAUGAGUUUGUAUCUAGUUAUACUGCUUCAAUUGGAGAUUUUUCCUAAUUAGUAUUAAUUAUAAAUUAAUUACCAAAAGAGUAUUCAUCCCAAACUACUUACAAAAAUAGUAUUGGGAUGGCAAUGAUCAUGCCACAUGGGCAACAAAUGUCCACAUGGUGAGGGUGAGGUAAAAAGGCUUGUGCUACAUGCUUUUUUUCCUUUUGAACUAGAAAGGUUCUUUCUUGGAGUGUUUAUAUGCUUUCAAUAACAAUUUUCACCAAAUUGUGUGGUGCUCUAUAAAACGCUUCAAAGAGGAUAGUUUCUAUCUUUCUGAAUAAAUGCUCCAUAGAUAUAAGCCAAAUCCACCCACCCACCCUUAGAAACUUUCCAAAUGUUGGAUGGUAAGGGUGGAGAACAAGAUUGCCUAUAAGAGGACUUUCCUAUAAAUGCUUGUAAUAGGAGCAUUUAUGGUGGAACUAUUAAAAAUGCCCCUUCCUUGAAGGCUUGUAAUGGGGGUUAGCUUAUAAACAUAUCUAGUAGGAACAUUUAUAUGUUAAAUCACUAAACGACAUCAUUUUACUUGACCCGAAAUCAACACAAAACCCAUUAGCAAUCAUAGUUGUCCAUCGUCCCCCGUUUAUUGUUGCAAAAACCCAAAACCUUUCUCAAGUCUAGAUCUCAACAUUCUUUCUAAAUCCAAAUCUCAAUUGCUCACAUCCUCUUUAACACACUCAAUUGUGCAGCCCACUUGUGGACCUCUCCCAAUCAAUCACAAUCUCAACAUUCUCUUCCACCCACGAUCAGUCUCUUCCACCUACAGUGGUGUAUAUACUUGGCACAAUCCAUAUUGAUAUAUGUACAAAUGCACACUUUGACACACAACUUUUAACUUCAUAUGUGUACAUUUUAUUAAUGUUUUAUAUGUAUAAAUACAUUUUAAUGUUGGUCUUAUUUAUGCCUCCUUUUUUUUGGUUUGUUGGGGAAUUUGAUGUAAUUCUUGUGGAAUUUAUCUUACAUGUAUGUAUGUGUAUGGAGGCUAAGACUAGGCUUAACUUGGUAUAUGUAUAUGUAUCAACAACCUUCUUGGUGCUAGAGAAAACUCAGAGAAAAAAGAAUGAUAAGGAUAAGUAACAUCUCACCUAUGCUAAUAAGCUUAGAUAUGCAAUAAUAGGCAUGGCUAAAGAAGGUUUAUCACCCAAAGGUUUGCUCUUUUUCUUUCAUUUUUUUCUCUCAUAUUCUUCUCAUUUUCAGUGCUUGUGCAAGAUAGAUACCCAAACCAUAAGGGUAGUGUUAUUAGAAUGGACACUGGGAGAAGUUCGCCCAACUUAGCAUGAUGUAUGUUGGGGGGGAAGAAAAAAUUGUUCAAAAUGAAGAUGGGAAAGACGUAUGAGGAGCUACUACAGCUUAACAUAUGAUAAGGUGGGGGGAUUGACUUGGAAUUGGAAGAAGUGAUGAUUGUGGUAAUCUUAACUUGGGGUGAUCGGACUUAUGAAGAUAUGACUAUAGAGCAUGAUAGUUGGUUGGUGAUGGCUAUUGAGGUCUUUCACAAGAUGCUUUUCAAGUUCAUAUGCAUCUACUUGAAUAAGAAAGCGAGACAACCUGUGAGAAUGAUAGCGAUUACCCAAGUGGAGAGUUGCCUAGUAACUUGCACCACAUUUAGCGCACCGCUCUGUUCCCAUAGCAUUGAGACCAUGAACCCGCACAACAAUAUAAACUUGGCUUGAGUCUACGGGCAUUUGAGACUUGUGGCAACAACAAUUCGCACAAUCCAGGAAUUGCCCUUGCCACGAGUCUCAAACAAUGUAUGGACACCCUAAGACUCUAGGCAAGUGAUCUAUUGUUGUACGGGUUUAUGGUCUCAAUGUUUGGGGUACAAAGCAAUGCACUAGUUGCAGAGUGGGCUACUAGGAAACUCUCCCCACGGGUUGUCCUUGCCGUUCUCAUGGGUUGUCUCACUUUCUUAUCCAAAUAGAUGCAUAGGAACUUGGAAAACGUCUCGUCAUGAACCUUAGUAGCCAUCUCAAAUGAACUACUAUCCUCGAUAAUCUUGUUCUCAUAUGUCCCACCACCAUGAGUCAAAAUUGCCACAAUCGUCACUUCUUCUUACUCCAAGUCAACAACUCCCACCUUGUCACAUGUCAAGCCUAGUACUUCCUCGUGCACCCCUCCCCUCCUUAUUUUGAACAAUUUUUGCUCCCCCAUGAUGUAUAUGAUGCAAGGUUGGGCCAACCUCUACCAGUGUCCUUUCUAUUAACACAAAACUCUUAUUAUAUGAGUAUCCAUCUUGCACAACCACUAAAAAUAAGAGAGAAACAAAGGAUAGGAGAAUAGCAACCUUUGAGCGAUCUAACUUUUUUACUCAUGCCUAUUACUAUAUAUCUAAGCCUAUUAGCAUUGGUGAGAUUUUACAUAUCUUUGUCCCUAAGUUUUCUCUAGUAGCAAGAAGGUAGAUGAUACAUGUACAUACAUCUACUAAGUAGUCCCUAGUUUCAGCCUCCUUAUAUUUACAUAUACAUACAUGUAAUAAAUUCCAAAAUAACUACUUUAAAUUUUCUAACAAGCAAAAAUGGGUUACAUAAAACCAGCUUUGGGAUGUAUAGAUAUGUAUAAAACAGUGACAAUUUACACAUAUAAAGAUGAAAAAUGCAUGUGCGUGUAUAUAUAUCAAUAUAGAUUUUGUCAAGUAUAUGCACAACCGUGGAUAAAAGAGAAUGCUGAGAUUGAUCGAGAAAGGUCCAUGAGUGGGCUUCACAAUCGUCGUUAUUGAUUUAACAUAUAAAUGCCUCUAUUAGAAGUCUAUAAACCAAGCAUACUAGAUACCUUAAAAACGCUCAAGGGGCGUUUCCAAUAGUUUCACCAUUCAAGCGUUUAUAAGCAAUCUUGUUUUCCACCCUCGCCAACACUUGGACUAUUUCUAAGGGUGUGUGGGUUUGGCUUAUAUCUAUGGAGCAUUUAUUGAAAAACAUAGAAAUUCUCCUAUUUCAAGCUUUUUAUAGGCCACCACGUAAUUUGGUGAAGAUUUUUGCUAAAAGCAUAUAAAUACUCUUAAGGAUUAUUUAUAGUUAUAAUGGAAAAACACUUGUUGCACAAGCAUCUUCAGCUAACAUUCAGGCGAUUUCUGACGGUGAUCCAAUGAUUCUCUUAGCUGCAACAAAGCGCGUUGAAUUAUCAGUGGGCGAUAUCAAGCGGUUGAUUCUCAGCUGAUAAUUGAGGCUUGGAAUUUGAAGGCGAAACAGAUUCAUAGAUGUUGAUUCUCGACUACUGCAUCUUGACCUAGGUUGUAGCUCAGACUUAAAGGCUAAGCCAGGCCAGGGGAAUUCUCGGCUAUUUGACCUAGGCAAUUGCUGUGAGGCGAUCGAUUAUCCAAUAGAGAGGCGGAUUAGGUUUACCGAAUUCAGGUUGCGGUGAACCGAUUGAGUCACAGGAGGCUAUUGAUUCAAGCAAUCCGACUUGGGAAACGAGCAAAGCCAAGCGAUCCCUAAAGCUGAUCUUAGGCGAUCCUCAGUUACUAAAGUUAGGUGUCAGGUAUUUUUUUUUUUUUAGACUGAUUCAAAGGCAGAUUCAAUUCGAAGAAUUUGAAUUGAGGAAAUGGCAUUGACAAAUAAGCUAUGCACUCCUUGUAAAGAAGUGUACAAUCAUUGAAGAAAACAUUCGACCAAAAGAUUGAAGUGUUGGAUGACUUGUUGAUCUAUCUUGCAAAGAAGUUUCAGGUGAUUCCGACUAAAGGAUUAUUCAUCUGUGAGAAGAUUUGUGACAUCCCACAUCGAGCGAUAGGAAAGACCGAAACAACUUACUCUGAUGGGCUUACGCAAACUUCCCAGGGGGUCAACCAUCCUUGAGCUUCCCCAACUCAAGCACACUUAAUUCGGGAGUUCUUUGUCUACACUCAACCCAAAAGGUAUCCAGCUGGUAUUGUUUCAUUCCUUACUUAUCCUCAAUAUAUACUACCCUUUUCUGGGCUCUCGGGGUAUUACAUUCUCCCCCCAUUGAGCACAUGAUGUCCUUGUCAUUGACCUUACAACUAGUCUCAUAUCUUCUUCCCUUUAGGGGUUGUCGUCCUAGAAACCUGCCAGAAGUCGCUCCUUGUAUAGGCCACCGAGCCCCGACGCCACUCCCUGCCCUCAUCAGACCGCCUUCACCAAGGGUCGGCUCUAAUACCACUUGUAACAUUCCGUAUCGAGCAAUAGGAAAGACUAAAACAACUUACCCUGAUGGGCCUACGCGAACUUCCCAGGGGUCAUCCAUCCCUGAGCUUCUCCAGCUCAAGCACACAUAACUCCGGAGUUCUUUGCCUACAUUCAACCCAAAAGGUAUCCAAUUGGUGUUAUUUCCUUUCUUACACUAUCAUCGAUAUAUACUAACAUUCUCUGGGCUCUUGGGGUAUUACAUUCUCCCCCCCUUGAGCACAUGACGUCCUCGUCAUACAACCUUACAAUUAGUCUUAGCUCUCUCCCGUCCAGUAUCCCCAGUCCAAUACCCCUAGCAUUUAGCUAGUACACGGUCCUCAGUCCAGUACCCCGAGCCUUUGGCUAGUACACGGUCCUAACACACGGCCCGGGUUGCUCUGAUACCACCAAAUUUCCUGGCAACUCCUUAUCAUGCACCAUAAUUUUACAAUCCCUAUAAAUUUCAAUACAUACCAAUUUCACAUUCCCCGACAUAGACACAAUCAAAGAAUACGGUAGUAAUGUUCUAGGAAUUGGAAUAUGACAUACAACUCAGGGUGCAACACGAGGACUUCCCAGGAUGUCACCCAUCCUUGAGCUUCCCAAGCUAAAGCGCGCUUAACCUGGGAGUUUUUUGCCUACAUUCAGCCCAAAAAAUAUCCAACUGGUGUUGUUUGCUUUUUUAAUUAUCCUCGAUAUAUACUACCCUUCUCUGGGCUCUCGAGGUAUUACACUCUCCCCCCAGUGAGCACAUGACGUCCUCAUCAUUGACCUUACAACUGGUCCCAGAUCUUCUUCUCUUUGGGAGCUGUCGUCCUAGAAGCCUGUCAGAAGCCUCUCCUUGGACGCCUUGAGCCCCAGCGCCACUCCUCGCCCUCAUCGAACCGCCUUCACUAAGAGCUAGCCUUGAUACCACCUGUAACAUCCUGCAUCGAGCGAUAGGAAGGAUCGAAACAACUUACCCUGAUGGGCCUAUACGAACUUCCCAGGGGUCACUCAUCCCUGAGCUUUCCCAGCUCAAGCACACUUAACCCGAGAGUUCUUUGCUUACAUGCAACCUAAAAGGUAUCCAGAUGGUAUUAUUUUAUUCCUUACACUAUUCUUGAUAUAUACUAACCUUCUCUGGGAUCUUAGGGUAUUACAAGAUUGGUGUUGGAUUACUUCCUCCGAAUUCUAACUUACAGGAGACUAAGGAACAAUAUGAAUGGGAAAAAAAUAUUGAUUCAUUAGAUAUUUUGGCUAUAAAUCAUUGUGGAGAUGAAAGUUGUGAUGAAGGCCAUGUUUCGGCCAUUGAGAAACCUGCUGAACUUUCUCAUCUCUUCCUAUGCAAUCAGGAUGUCCAGAUAGGAAUGAUAGUUGCAGGAGUAGUCACCCUACACCAUUGGAGGAAAAAUUUGUUGAAGAUAAAUAUUUGGUGUACACAAGCAAGUAGGAAGAAAAAGAUGUUGUGAAGUUGGGGAAGGUUACAAGCACAUCAUCUUUGGAAUUUGAAGAUUAUAAGGGGAAUUGGCAAGACCCCAACGAUCCCCAAAGAUAUAAUUGGAAUUAUAUAUUAUAUGUGUUGUAGUAGGUUGUACAUUGUUGUUCUACGUUGUUGUUGUUGUAGCCUAUAAAUAGGUUAGGUUAGGUUAGUUAGAGAAAAGACAUAGGAAGAGUGACAUUUGAAUUCUUAUUUCCCUCAUGAUGUGCUCGUAACCUUCCCCCAACUUCACUAACUUAUAAUCUUCAAAAUCCAAAGAUGAUGUUCAGAUCUCUCUUCCAAUCCCUCUGAUUCUCUCUUGGUUUUGUUCUGUCUGCAUUUCCCUCCCAAUUCUGUCUAAUCCUCCCUCCGUUUAUGUUCUCUCUUUCCCGAUUUCUACCAAAUUCCUCGGCAUUUUCCUAUUAGAACCCUAGGUAAACCCUAGGAUCAUAACAAGUAAUUAAGUUCAUAAUUAAUAAUGAUUAAGUUCAAAUCUCUCAUUUAGUAUAAGUACCACAAUGGGAACUCUGUGAAGGUUGAUACCAAGAACAUGAGGAUAUUGCACCUCGGAAUUAGUAAGAAAGUUAGUAAAGAAAUAAAACGCCUCUGAAGUAGAAAACUAAAAAGGAUACCAUAGUGUUACCUCUCCAAUGUUCUUCUAAGGAAAUUAAAUGUGUUGGUUUGCAAAAGAAAAGGCAUGGAGGACACAAGAAAGGAAACAAAUCAAAUCCUGGAAAGUGAUAUUAAUGAAACCAAAGAAAGGCACUUGGCGGAGGAAAAGAGCACCAAUGUAUCAUGCUUAUUAGCUCAAUGGUCUCUCAUUAUAAAAAAAAACAGAUGAUGAGCGAGUUAUGCACUUCAGAAAUAGAAAUUUUGUUGCCCAUUUGAACAGUUGACUAACCUCCUUGAUUAACCCAAAUGCACUCUCUAUAGAUAGUAGGAAUUUGGAUCGACGUAAAGGGUAUGUUUCUUGUGAAAUCUGCGGAGGUAUAUAAUAGCCUUCUAAAUUUUCUUUGUUAUUAUAUUGUGGAUUUAAGAUAAAUAUUUGGUCUUUGAAGCAAAAAUAUUUAUCAGCUCUAAGGUCCUUUUAACUUCGAGAAUGCAUUCAUUCACUAUUAAUCUGUUAAAUUUGUACAUUAUUUUCAAAUAUUUGGGAAAAUGGUAUCAUGGAGAUGCUUCUGGGCUUAUCGUGGAAAACAUCAAUAAUCUCAUUGGAGUUGGGUGCCACGAGUUUCGUAAUGGGCAUCUCCUAUUUGCCCCCAUUUACACACAAAGACAAGUGACAAGGCCUUGGCAAUUUGAAUAGUGAGGCAGUGGCCAACUCCAUUGUAGAUGAGGAUGUCUCAAAUGUUGUUGAUCUUCCAGCCAAGGAAUUAGAAGAGCAUAAGUUCUAUGCUAAUAGAUGCGAAGCUUCCGUCUUUUGAUGACAAGUCUAACCAGAUGGGCUGUGAUAGGAGGAUUGUGAAGAAGCUUUGAGAACAAAGAAGAUGCCUAUCACACAUUGUGACUGUUAAAGGAAAGAAAACAACCUUAGAAGCAGUAAAUUGAAAAAUCUGGGUGAGAAAUUGAUUAGGACAGUCAGAAUUCUUGGUUUCUGAUUGGCUCUUAUAUGUUGUAAUGUAAUGGAUUGCUUAGCUACCCAUUGGUAAUUGUUGUUUGUUCCAGAAAGCAGUUAGUGGUUAUAGUUAGUUGACUGAUUAAUGGGUUGUUUGAUAUUGGCAAGCCUAUGCUACUAUAUAUGCAUGUGUCGUUUUGUUAAUAAGCAGAGAAAACGUAUUUACUGUGUUGACACAGA